CAGAAAUCACGGUCUUCUGCGUCGCUCACGCUGGGAGCUGUAGACGGGAGCUGUUCCUAUUCCAGAUGUCUUUUUUUUACUUCAAAAUUAUGUUUAUUGGGAGCUAAACAACAUUUACCAGCCUACCACAGAGUUAUGGGGGAGAAGGUUAUAUGACCAAGAUUUAGACAACAAAAAGUGAUCAGAAGGUCAUCUGAAUAUCCAGGCACAACCCAGGCAUACUAGACCUUGAUCACACUGGAAGUGCGUGACCAUGGGGAUGUGGUGUGUAAAGCAAGAAAACAUAGGGACAGAAAUACAACACUGGAGAGAUCACUUGAUGUCAUUUCUGAUGGCUUUUAUCCAUCCUGCCCAAAUAAAAUAAACAAAUUACCCUGCUACUUUACAAUGCUAUUAAAUUUUUUUUUUAAUUUUAUACUUGGUUUGUAUUUAGCUGGAUUGCUCUAGUGUUCCUCUGAUCUAAACUAGCUGCUUCUGCACUUUUUCUAACUAACCCAUUAAUAUGCUAGUAAACUAAUAACCAACAUUUAUAUAAGGCUCUAUAUUUAAAAUGCUUUCACAUUAAUUAUCUCACUAAAUUCAGUUUAUCCUACUCCACAGAGACAACCUGGUAUUUCUAAAGUAUA
rnacentral:lncRNA from 10 species